rnacentral:lncRNA from 1 species
UUAUGGUUGGUUGUUUUGUGUUUUUCCCACCCGGCCACAUCACAGCCUGCUGGUCCCCCCGCCUCACUCUGUCAAAACCCCAACUCCCGGCGACCCUGGGUUUGGAAACUCCGCGGACUCCCGACGACACGUCCCACUCUCCCUCUCACGCCUCGUAUUUUAGUUGCAAGAUCCCUCGCUCCAGUUGCAGCGAAAGCCGGAAAUUUUCAUUUAACUGCCCCCCCCCCCCGCCGCCCUCCCGCCCCCCACUCGGAGCCGAGCGUUGGGGAGUGGAGACCCGGAGCACAGCCGGGCUCGCCGCCUCCCCUCUCUCCGGAAGGCUUUAAUUUGCACACUUGCUUGCCUCGGCGCAGCGAGCCCCUAGCCCCGUCGCCGCCUCCGGGUGGGUCUCGGGCAGAGUCGGCCUGGGGGGGGGGGCGCCCCCGCCCCGGCUCGCCCCGAGCCCCGGCCCGCGCCCCGCAGCCCCCGGCCGCCCCCAGCGUGCGGCGCGGGCGGCGCCCUCCGCCGUGCCUCCGCCGUCCCUCCGCCCUCCGCCGCUGUGCCCACCCCUUCGCGGGAGAGAGCGCCGCUACCUCCUUCCUCCGAGCCGGUUACCUGCUCGGCGCGCGGUGGACACGUGCGGAGGUCGCACAGACACUCGCAGCCCUCCCCGGAGGCCCGACGCGGCCGGGCCCCUCAGUAUCCGAGUUAGAACGCACACCCCGCGGUGAGCAGCGCCGGGCCCCGCAGCGCGCCCCACAGUGUGCACGUGGGGCUCAUCUGCGUGUGCGCACACGCGGGAGUCGUGGUCCCCGUGCGGCCUCUUGUCGCUGCGCUGGUGGCGACCCUUGCGGUGCUUGGCAGGCUUCGGGAGAGGCACAUGAAGGAUUUCAUUGAGUGUGAAGACAGAGAGCAGAGACAGAAAGCAGAAGGAGGCGGCUGCAGCCUUUGUAGUCGCGGAGGAAUGCGGAAAUGUUGAAGCACUAUGUCAAACUUUUUUGAAAUGGGGUCAAGUCACAUUCAGCCAGCGUGGGAAAGCAACAACAACAACAAAAAAAAGUGGAGGAGAGGGGGGGAAAAGGCACUGUUGCUCCCGUUUCUCUCCGCCGGAGCCGACGGUCCGGGGAGCGGGGGGGAGGGGGGAGCCUGGGCGGGCGGUGCGGGGCCGGGCGGGGGCAGCGGGCGCAGCUCCCUGCGGGGGUGGGACGUCCGCGGCGCUGCCGGAGCUGCUGAGCCUCCGGUCGGACUGCGGCGGGGAGGGGGAUGCGGGAGGGGCGGGCGGGCGGCGCGGCCGGCGGCUCCGCGGCUACCUGUGUGGCCCUAGGCCUGGCUCGGACCCCCGCGCAGGCUCUUGGGGGGCUCAGUCCUUUCUCCCCCGGGACUCGCCUUUACCUUUUAAGGAGAGCUUUGAAUGGAGUGUGAGGGGCCCUGCGCUCGCUGCGGUCCCCUCUGCCAGCACGCCGUGGGGAUCGCGCCAUUUGUUUAACUCCUGGCAGGAGGCGAGCGGCCGGCGGUGCGGGGCAGGUAAUUCCGAGGUGUCCCGGGGAUUCCAGACACGCGGCCGGCGUGGCGAAUGUACCGCCGAGGCCGCGGCGGCCCUGGAUUACGACUGAAUGGGGAGGGGAAAGCGUGUCCCUACCCUGCCUCCCCACCCCCGCACUGUGUUGUGCGGAGGGCCCCGAGCGGGGUCGGGGGGUCGGGGGGCGCGUUUGGCCCCUGCCUGAUGAGACCAGGCCUCGAGCGGAGGGAGGAAUGGAGCAGCCACCUCUGCAACUUCAGAUCCAGAAGAUCUGGAGAAGUUCCAGGGAGUGGGGAAAGGUUCGGAGUCCCGGCGCCCAGGGCGCAGCCCCUUCUCUCUCACCCCCGAGGCUUGGCAUUUACUCCUCCCACCCCCAACCUUUUUAAGAGGAGGUUGGGUUUUGAUGAGGUUGAAAUUAGUUGAGGAUUUCAGGGCGAGUCGCGGUUACGCUACCUUCCUCCCGCAGUUACUCUCUCAGGAGAUGACAAGCCAAAGUGCGACGAAUAACCCGUCCUCCCACCCUUACGGUCCUUUGGGCGACUCCCCCCUCUGGGGCCCCACCGCUCCUCCACUCCCGAGUAGCGGGAGCCCCAGCCCUCCCCGACCUCAUGGGUUUCCACCAGGGAGGUCCUCCGAGUCGGAGGAAGAAUUUCGUUUCCAGUCCAGACUUCUUUACCCCAAAAAGACCAUUUGUGUGUGCAAGUCGUUUUUAAAUGUCUCCUCGCAGAAAAACUGAAAGUAGAAAGAAAGGAAGCAAUUUCCCAGCAGAUGUCUGACCACCCCUCCUCGCACACUCCCAGCAUCGGGUUACAGGGUCCCGGGAGCCCCCACCCACAUUCGGCAGCCCCACACGGGUGGACCCACAGCCCCUCCACAGCAGCUUGGGCACAACCCCCGAAAGCCCCACGGCACCCCGGAGCCCCUCUCCCUGCACGCCCAGGCCCGGGGGGGCGGGGUGGGUAGCAGUGCAACACAAUGAUGUAGGGAUAAAUAUUAAGCCGUGACAUUGACGUGCCCGGCACCUCCCCUCCCCCGCGCUCCCGGCACACUCUGGGCUGCUCGGCACGCCCCCUCCCGUUCCACUGCGUCCCGCGCCGCGCGCUCAUCCCCGAGGGGCCCCUGCAACCUCUCUGCGCGAAGACGGCUCCAGCUCUGCAGGGAAAGAAAAGUAACUUCGCUUUUCUCGGAGGAACCAGGAAGGAUUAAGCAGCCUGGGAGAGGGCAGGAGCGCGCCGAGGGUAGCGAUGGGGGCUCUAUGGAGUAGGAGGAGGGGAGUCUGCGGGAACUCGGAGGAAGGCGCCCGGGAUGUCUGAUUGCACUUUUUCUUGU